rnacentral:rRNA from 1 species
UUUAACUGAGCGUUCAGUUACUUGACGUAGACCCGAAACCGGGCGACCUACCCAUGAGCAGGAUGAAGCGAAAGUAAAAUUUCGUGGAGGUCCGAACCCACGAGCGUUGAAAAGCUCGGGGAUGACUUGUGGGUAGCGGUGAAAUUCCAAUCGAGCCCGGAGAUAGCUGGUUCUCCCCGAAAUAGCUUUAGGGCUAGCCUCAAGGUGAGAGAUACGGAGGUAGAGCACUGAAUGUCCUAGGGGGUAUUGCACCUACCGAAGACUAUCAAACUCCGAAUGCCGUCAUCUUAUACUUGGGAGUCAGACUGUGGGUGAUAAGAUUCAUAGUCGAAAGGGCAACAGCCCAGAUCGUCAGCUAAGGUCCCUAAAUGUAAGUUAAGUGGUAAAGGAUGUGGGAUUGCACAGACAACCAGGAUGUUGGCUUAGAAGCAGCCACUCAUUCAAAGAGUGCGUAAUAGCUCACUGGUCGAGUGAUCCUGCGCCGAAGAUUUCCGGGGCUAAAACUUACUACCGAAGCUACGGCAUCAGUAAUGAUGGGUAGGGGAGCUUCCCAUACGGGUUGAAGCAUGACCGUAAGGACAUGUGGACAGUAUGGGAGUGAGAAUGUUGGCAUGAGUAGCGAGAUGUGGGUGAGAAUCCCACAGGCCGUAAACCCAAGGUUUCCAGGGGAAGGUUCGUCCGCCCUGGGUUAGUCGGGACCUAAGCUGAGGCCGAAAGGCGUAGGUGAUGGACAACAGGUUGAUAUUCCUGUACUACCGAUAACCGUUUGAGAGAAGGGAUGACACAGUAGGAUAAGCUAAGCACACUGUUGGUUAUGUGUGCCCAAGCAUUGAGGCAGUCAAAGUAGGCAAAUCCGCUUUGAUAAUGCUAGGAUGUGAUGGGGAGCGAAAUUUAGUAGCGAAGUAGCUGAUUUCACACUGUCAAGAAAAGUCUCUAUCGAGGUUAAAGGUACCCGUACCGCAAACCGACACAGGUGGGUGAGGAGAGUAUCCUAAGGCCAGCGAGAGAACUGUUGUUAAGGAACUCGGCAAAAUGACCCCGUAACUUAGGGAUAAGGGGUGCCACCAUCAGGUGGCCGCAGAGAAUAGGCCCAAGCGACUGUUUACCAAAAACAUAGGUUUCUGCUAAGUCGCAAGACGAUGUAUAGGAGCUGACGCCUGCCCGGUGCUGGAAGGUUAAGGGGAUCUGUUAGAGCAAUCGAAGCAGUGAACUUAAGCCCCAGUAAACGGCGGCCGUAACUAUAACGGUCCUAAGGUAGCGAAAUUCCUUGUCGGGUAAGUUCCGACCCGCACGAAAGGCGUAACGAUUUGGGCACUGUCUCAACAACAGACUCGGUGAAAUUGUAAUUCCGGUGAAGAUGCCGGAUACCUGCGACAGGACGGAAAGACCCCAUGGAGCUUUACUGUAGCUUGACAUUGGGUCUUGGUACUACAUGUACAGGAUAGGUGGGAGGCUUUGAAACCAGGACGCCAGUUUUGGCGGAGCCAUCCUUGGGAUACCACCCUUGUAGUACUGGGACUCUAACCAUAGGCCAUGAAUCUGGUCUUGGGACACUGUCAGGUGGGCAGUUUGACUGGGGCGGUCGCCUCCCAAAAGGUAACGGAGGCGCUCAAAGGUUCUCUCAGUACGGUCGGAAAUCGUACGUAGAGUGUAAAGGCAAAAGAGAGCUUGAUUGCAAGACAUACAGGUCGAGCAAGGAUGAAAAUCGGACUUAGUGAUCCGGUGGUUCUGCGUGGAAGGGCCAUCGCUCAACGGAUAAAAGCUACCCUGGGGAUAACAGGCUUAUCUCCCCCAAGAGUCCACAUCGACGGGGAGGUUUGGCACCUCGAUGUCGGCUCAUCACAUCCUGGGGCUGUAGUAGGUCCCAAGGGUUGGGCUGUUCGCCCAUUAAAGUGGUACGCGAGCUGGGUUCAGAACGUCGUGAGACAGUUCGGUCCCUAUCCGUCGCAGGCGUAGGAAAUUUGAGAAGACCUGUCCUUAGUACGAGAGGACCGGGAUGGACG